rnacentral:lncRNA from 1 species
CGGCCCGAGCCCGGUGCGCGGCCCCUCAGCGGCCCCUCAGCGCCGCCAUUACCGGCCCGCAACUGACACGGAGCGGCGGCGGCGGCGGCGCACAGGAAACUCUCGCGAGAACCGGCUCGCCGCCGACCUUCCCAGCAUGGCGCCGUCCCGCCGGGCCCCCUCGGCGCCGGCCGCCAUCUUGGGUGUGGCACGGCAGCCCUGCCCUCCCUCAGCCUCGGGAGAGCCUGGUCCUCCAAUAUUUCCCUCGAAGCUUUUCUUUUUCUCCUCACAGUUCUACAAGCUCGACCUGCCGGAUGAGGAGAAAAAAAAUGCCUGAGCAUGGAAAGACAAGCACAAGUCCAGUGGGAAAGAGUGGCAAACCAGGCAUCACUUUAGGAUUUUCUCAAACAUGGAAAUUAUUUAGUCUCAGCCGAAUAUAAAUUAAAAGUGAGUUGGAAAGCUCUGAUGGGCAAACGUCCUCCGCGAGACUAGAAGGAGAUUCUUGUGGAAAACUCAAUCAAUCACCUUGUGAAAUUCUCAGCGAUCAGAAAUAAAGAAACCGUUUACCUGCA